GGGCCGCUGGUCUAGUGGUAUGAUUCUCGCUUAGGGUUACACCCUACAGCAGUAUUUGCGAGAGGUCCCGGGUUCAAUCCCCGGGUGGCCCC